rnacentral:lncRNA from 1 species
UCAGUUUUCUCUUUUAUUUUAUUUUACUUUAUUUUAUUUUUUUUAGACGAGUCUCGCUCUGUCACCCAGGCUGGAGUGCAGUGGCGUGAUCUCGGCUCACUGCAACCUCUGCCUCCCGGGUUCAAGCAAUUCUCUGCCUCAGCCUCCCGAGUGGCUGGGAUUACAGGCGCCCGCCACCACGCCCAGCUAUUUUUUUUGUAUUUUUAGUAGAGACGGGGUUUCAGCAUCUUGGCCAGGCUGGUCUUGAACUCUUGACCUGGUGAUCCACCCGCCUCAGCCUCCCAAAGUGCUGGGAUUACAGGCGUGAGUCACCGCGCCCGGCCGAGUUUUCUCUUUUAUUAAAAAAAGAAAAUCAACAACAAAGUUUUGCAGGAUUGUAGUGAGUGAAUAUAAAGUAUGUGAUUCGGUAUCCGGAACAUAAAAGUUCUCAGGAAAUCACGAUUAAUAAUAAACAGUAACAAAUAAUGAUCCGUCCAAACCAAGAGAAGAUAAUCUCCUUUGGCUGUAAGAAAAUAUGACUUAAACAGCUCUUUCCUUCAAGUCCUCCUUCCCACUUUAACAGGCCACACUGUACUGAGCAUCUAGAAGGCUCUCUGCCAACAGCAGCGCCGGUUUGUUAUCUAAGUGAGUCUUGGUCAUUAAGCAAAGUCAGGGUCUUUGUUAUUGGUUUCAUCCCCACUGGCCUUGCAGAGAAAGCCCAAGCCACAGGGUACAUCUCUGCCUGCCAAUGCCCUGUAUUCCUGAAACAAAAAGGCAAUAAAAAACACGACAGUUAGUGUCAGACACGGAGCCCGGGCUUGGGAGCGGGCGGGGAGGGCUCCCUUUUCUCCUUGUUCCGCAGCACCUGUCACGGAGACGGGAGAUGGGGGCCUGGCCCGGGAUGGGCAGCCCUGCUUCCUCCUGCCCCCGCCGCGCUCCCUCCCGAGCUGCUCCGGCCCCGGCUCCCAGCAACGCGGCGGCGGCCCGCUCUGCGACUAGAAAGCGCCCAUUGAGGGCUUGCAGCUGCCAGUGCCGCUUGCCCAAAUCCGACAUAAAGCCUCGACUUCAGCUCCAGUGAAGAAGACACUACUGUGUUCUUCCUGAGCCCCAGUCAUGGCUAUAAAACAUUAAAAGCAAACUGGCGAUUGUUAAACACUGCAUUUGUUUACACCCCGAAUCUUGAAUCACAAUGGGGCAGCUUGGGCUGCCCAGGCCCGGCGAGGCCGGGCUUUCUCCUAGACACUGAAGUCUGUUCUCCGACCCAAGGGACACAAGAAAAGCUGGAGUAAAGUGGCAUGAUCUCGGCUCACUGCAGCCUCCGCCCCCGCCAGGUUCAAGUGAUUCUCCUGCCUCAGCCUCCCGAGUAGCUGGGAUUACAGGCGCAGGCCACCAUGCCCAGGAAAAGGUGCAGAGUUUGAUGACCCCAGGACCUGGAAUUUACCUAGUCAGAGAGAUCAAGGAAGGCUUCCCUAAGGAAGUGGUGCAGAGCUGAGAUCGGAAGAAGCAGGGAUGUUCUCCACAGAAAGAACAUGCUCAGAAGCCCAGUCAGCAGCAGGAAGGAGUGUGGUGAUUUUGAGGAACCGAAAGAAGACCAGCAUGGCUGGAGAACAGAGGAUGGGGGUGUGAUAUGUGACGAGCGAAGAGAAGUCACCCGUACUUCAUUUACCAGUCCUUGCUAAGGAUUAUUCAUUAAAACACACAACAGCAACAAUAACCACAAAAGCAACAAUAAAAAUACCUUUGAACUCACUCAAUCUUGAACUAUUGAACAUGCUAAGUCCGUGUCAUUGGCCUACUUAAUCAGCCCUCGAUUGUAACUUGAAGAAGC